rnacentral:misc_RNA from 1 species
CUGGAACAAACGCCCUCACGGGUGCUACCCAGAAACCCUUUGUGAACUUAUACCUAAACGUUGCCUCGGCAUGUAGCUGGCUUCUCCGGAAGUCCCUUCUUUCUGGUUAGCCCUCCAGGGGGCGCCUGAAGGAGGAGCAGGCUGGCCGGCGGCCCCCACUAUAAACUCUUUGUUUUUGUACGAUCAUCUGAGUAAAACAACUAUAAAUGAAUCA